GUACCCGCACCGACGUCCGUGUGGGAGGAAAAAUAGAUGUUAGUUGUCAUUGUCAUAUAAGGUGAUGGUUAUUAUGGAUAACUGGCAAGAACUGGAGGCAUCAUAUUAAUCGUUCUGUGUGCCAUUUAUUUAGUCUGUGGAUUAUUUGAGCCAUUUUUGUUCUAUCAUUUGUGUUCCCCGGACUAUUUUUUUGACUUUGUGGAUUAUUUAUCGUCAUCAUAUUUAUUUCUAUUGCGCACGCUAAAAAUAAGCCAUAAUUCUUUCGGAAUUAUUUCUGUUUUUUUUUCUUUAUUUUUAUUGUGCUAGUUGGCGUUUUAUAUUUGUCACAAAAAUAAAUGAUCAGAAAUAUAUUCUUACUUCAAUUUCAUAAGUGAACCUUUAAAUCUGUAUUAAUUAUAAAAUACAGGGAAAGAAAAUGACUCCUGGGUCUGUUUCAAAUGAAAAGGAUUUUUAAUACGAGAUUGGUGUGAGUGUGGAGGAGCACUGAUAAGAAACCAAGGAUGGAAGUAGCCAAUGUGGGAGGGGGAAGGGGGGGCUGUGGAUUUAACAACUAAGCGGACUUUGUGGAGAUACGGGUGGUCUCCAGGGGGCUAUUAAUUAGCAGAUGUUCAACUUAGCUGAUAAACUUUUUUUCCACCCUCCCGAGAUGAAUCCUGGUGCAUUUGAGCACUGAAUGGACUCUAAAAAGCUGAAGUGCUUCCUCUCGGAGGCGUCCUCACUUCCCUUUUCGGAGCAGCUGUGAUCUUAAUCCCCUCUUCAUCUUCUUCAUCCUCUUCCCUGCCGUCAGACUUGGAAUAGAUGCCUCCUGACGACAGUGAGAAGAGGACCCUUGGCCUGUGACGGAGGAUUGGAAUUCAAUACUCCAUUUGGCGACACACUCGACCACCCGCCUCGGAUACGGAAAGCCACGACCUAACUGGGAGAGCUGUGAACUUUUUAUUUGGAUUUUUUUUUUUUACUCUGGUGAUAAUUCGUAGUUGCUUAGAAACAGGUU